rnacentral:misc_RNA from 1 species
GAGAGAGAUUAGAAAUAUCACAUUUAUGCAAUAUAAAAGAAACGAAAAGAAAAAUCAAUUUUGUCCCAUUAAAAAGAAAUCACAUUAAUUUGUUCAGAUAUCAAACCAAACGAGAAACAGAUAUGAAUUACUGGAAUGAAAGAAUAGUUUGUUGGAUUGUUCCCCUUCAAUGUAAUCUGAGCUUCGGAUUUAGAAACAAUAUUAUCUAUGGUGCGUCAUGUGCUUGGUCCAGCUAUUGUCUUUUUAACAUCCAAAGUCUCCAGACUACUAUCUCCCUUUAGAACUUGAAGUAUCUGCUUUCCACAUAAAUCGAAAAAAGUUUUAUGUAUGGAUUAAAAAUUUUAAUUUGGAUUACUGGCUACAACAAUUAAUCAGUGUUUGCUGGCUGAUUUGAUUAGUCAAGUUCAGAUAUUUUGGAUUUCAUCUUUUUCAGAUAGGUUCAAAUUAAAUUAUUCUACAUUGCAAAUUAAUUUAUAUUACUCAUCAAAUUACUAUAAAAAGUUUAUAUUUCAAGGUUAGUAUUUUGUAAAGAAUACAUUUUUCUUGUUAAUUUCUAGUUAAUAAACUUAUAUUUAAAAACCUAUGAAUUUUCAUAUAGUCAUAAUUUUUUUUCCAUCAUAUUCUCCAAAUUUUGUUUCUCGAAUAUGACAAAAUAAUAAUUUUUUUUUAUUACGAACAAGUAAUAAAUUUUAUUUCCCAAUUAGUCUCACAUAAUGUCAAUCAACAAUUAAUGCUAUAGGGAGACAGAGGGAAACGUAUGUAUGCUUAUAUAUAGCCCUGAAAACAAAGUAAUAAAUAUUUUUAGAUAAAAUUAAGGGCUUCAUUUAGACAAAUAAUUUAUUUUAGAGAAAAUAAUAAAAAUAUAAAGCAAAGACAAAUAAUAUGAAGAGUUUAAAACAAAAUUCAUAUUUUUAUGAAAUUACCUGACUCAUUUGUGGUCGAUGUUGAUGAUUACUACGUACACAUGCUUCAGCACAAGCAAUCAUCCGAACCAUUUCAUCAGUGUUAUACUCCUUUAAUUUCUCAUCAACCAAAUUGUCUUUGCUUUUGGACAGACUUUCUUUCGAUAUAUUUCUUGGGAGCUGCGACAUUGCCCAAUUAAUUAUGGUAGUGUGACCAUCGUAAUCACCACCAACUGGUGGUUUUCCAGUAAUUAACUCCAGAAGAAUUAUGCCAAAAGAAUAAACAUCAAACUUAUCAGUAAGAGUAUUCUUUUUGGUAAUGUCAUAUUCAGGAGCCAUAUAACCAGAAUUUUUCAUGAUUUUGUCGAUAGAGAGAUGAGUAACAGAAUCUGGGAAAAGCUUGGCACUUCCAAACUCUGCAAGA